GAUGAACGCUAGCUACAGGCUUAACACAUGCCAGUCGAGGGGAAACGGCAUUAAGUGCUUGCACUUUUUGGACGUCGACCGGCGCACGGGUGAGUAACGCGUAUCCAACCUUCCCAUGACUAAGGGAUAACCUGCCGAAAGGCAGACUAAUACCUUAUGGUCUUCACUGACGGCAUCAGAUGUGAAGUAAAGAUUUAUCGGUUAUGGAUGGGGAUGCGUCUGAUUAGCUUGUUGGCGGGGUAACGGCCCACCAAGGCAACGAUCAGUAGGGGUUCUGAGAGGAAGGUCCCCCACAUUGGAACUGAGACACGGUCCAAACUCCUACGGGAGGCAGCAGUGAGGAAUAUUGGUCAAUGGGCGAGAGCCUGAACCAGCCAAGUAGCGUGCAGGAGGACGGCCCUAUGGGUUGUAAACUGCUUUUGUAUGGGGAUAAAGUCAAUCACGUGUGAUUGUUUGCAGGUACCAUACGAAUAAGGACCGGCUAAUCCCGUG
rnacentral:rRNA from 1 species